UACGUAGGGUGCGAGCGUUGUCCGGAAUUACUGGGCGUAAAGAGCUCGUAGGUGGUUUGUCGCGUUGUUCGUGAAAACUCACAGCUUAACUGUGGGCGUGCGGGCGAUAAGGGCAGGCUAGAGUUCGGUAGGGGAGACUGGAAUUCCUGGUGUAGCGGUGAAAUGCGCAGAUAUCAGGAGGAACACCGGUGGCGAAGGCGGGUCUCUGGGCCGAUACUGACGCUGAGGAGCGAAAGCGUGGGGAGCGAACAGG
rnacentral:rRNA from 1 species